UACGGAGGGUGCGAGCGUUGUCCGGAAUCAUUGGGCGUAAAGGGCGCGCAGGCGGCCCUUGAAGUCAGGCGUGAAAGCCCCGGGCUCAACCUGGGAGGUGCGCUUGAUACUCGAGGGCUUGAGUGCGGGAGAGGAGAGUGGAAUUCCCAGUGUAGAGGUGAAAUUCGUAGAUAUUGGGAAGAACACCGGUGGCGAAGGCGGCUCUCUGGACCGUAACUGACGCUGAGGCGCGAAAGCGUGGGGAGCAAACAGG
rnacentral:rRNA from 1 species